CCAAGCAUAAGGGAAACACUGAAACAGAGACCCACGGAAAGACCCAAAAUUGCGAGCCCAUGUCUUUGCUCCUCUAUACUCGCAAGCCUCUCUCCUUUGCACUCACCCUCACCACGCUCACUCUGCAACGCUUCUCCAGUACACUCACUUAUGCUACGGACGAUAAUAAAGUUAAUGCUACUUAUGGAACAAACCCUAGCUUCAUUCAUCCCUCUGCAAUUGUUCAUCCAAACGCCGUUAUAGGUCAGGGUGUUUCAAUUGGCCCAUUUUGUACUGUUGGAUCUUCUGUGAAGUUGGGGAAUGCUUGUCAACUAUAUCCCGGAAGCCACGUUUUUGGAAAUACAGAAUUGGGAGAUAACUGCAUUUUGAUGAGUGGUGCUGUGGUUGGAGAUGAUCUUCCUGGGUGUACAGUUCUCGGAUGCAACAACAUUAUUGGGCAUCAUGCUGUGGUAGGCAUUAAAUGCCAAGACAUGAAGUACAAGCCAGGGGAUGAAUGUUUCCUUCAUGUUGGCGACAACAAUGAGAUCAGAGAACAUACCUCUAUUCAUCGGUCGUCAAAGUCGAGUGAAAAAACAGUUAUUGGUGAUGACAAUCUUAUAAUGGGGUCCUGUCAUAUUGCUCAUGACUGCAAAGUGGGCAACAAGAACAUUUUUGCAAAUAAUAGUCUUCUAGCAGGCCAUGUUGUGGUGGAGGACUAUACUCAUACUGCAGGGGCUAUUGUUAUUCAUCAGUUUUGCCGUAUUGGUUCUUUUUCUUUCAUCGGUGGUGGUUCUGUGGUUUCACAAGAUGUCCCAAAAUACACGAUGGUAGCUGGAGAAAGAGCAGAGCUCCGUGGUUUGAAUUUGGAAGGUCUUCGGCGGCGUGGAUUCUCACUAAUGGAGAUCAAGAGACUUAGAACAGCUUACAGGAAGAUAUUCAUGCCCACUGAACCAAAUUCUGGGGGUAUAGAGAACCGCCUGGCUGAAGUGGUAUUAGGAGCAGGACGAAGAGUUGGCUCAUGUUCCUGCUGUAUGUUUCAUGGUGCAAUCCAUUCGUGAUUCUUUUGCAGAAAAUCGUCGUGGAAUUUGCAAGUUCAGAUAUUGGAGUGGCUCUUAAAAGCCUACUAAAGAUUUUGCCGGUAGCAAUUAUUUUUUCAAGCUUGUGUUGACAUAUGCAUGGCACCAAUAGUUUUUCCCUAGUGGCAUUUAGUUAUGUGGUGAAGGUUAUGGAGAGGGGUGGUGAAGGUUAUGGAGAGGGGUUGCAGAGGGGAAAACUGAUGUAGAUAUAGAAUGGAACUUUUCAGAAGGAAAUGAAAUGCGCAACUUCCAUUAAGGUGGAGAAAAUGCUUGGCCUGUCCAAUUACUUUAUAAUUUUCAAUAAUAAGAACAUUAAUGUACCCAUUGAUAUCCGUAGGUAAUUCAUUCCUAUUUAUGUAGUUCUGCCUCAGAUUUUGUUUUCUAAACAUUUUAUUAACUGUAUCCAAAAGCUUAAUUGCCAUAGUUAGAGAUACUGUGAAA